CUUAUACCCCGUCCGUCCGAAAAUACUUGUCAUCAAAAUGAACAAAAAGGAAUGUAUCUAGAACUAAAAUACGUCUAGAUACAUCUCCUUUUAUUCAUUUUGAUGACAAGUAUUUUCGGACGGAGGGAGUAGAAA
rfam:Triticum aestivum genome assembly, contig: Triticum_aestivum_CS42_TGACv1_scaffold_406013_5BL